GACAUAGGUGGCAAGCGUUAUUCGGAAUUACUAGGCGUAAAGCGAGUGUAGGCGGACGAUUAAGUCCGAUGUUAAAUCUCCAGGCUUAACUUGGAGUCGCAUCGGAUACUGGUCGCCUCGAGUGGGGUAGGGGGCAGCGGAAUUCCCGGUGUAGCGGUGAAAUGCGUAGAUAUACGGAGGAACACCAGAGGCGAAGGCGGAUCGCUGGGCCAACACUGACGCUGAGACGCGAAAGCUAGGGUAGCAAACGGGAUUAGAUACCCGUGUAGU
rnacentral:rRNA from 1 species